GAUGAACGCUGGCGGCGUGCCUAAUACAUGCAAGUCGAGCGAACGGACGAGAAGCUUGCUUUUCUGAUGUUAGCGGCGGACGGGUGAGUAACACGUGGAUAACCUACCUAUAAGACUGGGAUAACUUCGGGAAACCGGAGCUAAUACCGGAUAAUAUUUUGAACCGCAUGGUUCAAAAGUGAAAGAAGGUAUUGCUGUCACUUAUAGAUGGAUCCGCGCUGCAUUAGCUAGUUGGUAAGGUAACGGCUUACCAAGGCAACGAUGCAGAGCCGACCUGAGAGGGUGAUCGGCCACACUGGAACUGAGACACGGUCCAGACUCCUACGGGAGGCAGCAGUAGGGAAUCUUCCGCAAUGGGCGAAAGCCUGACGGAGCAACGCCGCGUGAGUGAUGAAGGUCUUCGGAUCGUAAAACUCUGUUAUUAGGGAAGAACAUAUGUGUAAGUAACUGUGCACAUCUUGACGGUACCUAAUCAGAAAGCCACGGCUAACUACGUG
rnacentral:rRNA from 1 species